CCCUUUGAUACUCUGGGCGGCACGCGCGCUACAAUGGAUAACUUAACGUGUUACACGUCCGAAAGGAUGUAUGCAAAUCACAAAUGUUAUGUCUCGAGUGGGAUAGUUUACUGCAAUUAUAGACUUGAACUAGGAAUCCCUUGUAGGUACACUGAAGCAUAGUGUACCGAAUACGUCCCUGCCGUUUGUACACACCGCCCGUCGUUUCUUCCGACUGAUACUCAUUGUGAAUUGCGGGGAUAACGUUGUUGAAAACCGUUGUAAAUGCUGGGUAUUGGAGGAAGAAAAAGUCGUAACA
rnacentral:rRNA from 1 species